ACGCUGGCGGCAGGCCUAACACAUGCAAGUCGAGCGGUAGCACGGGAGAGCUUGCUCUCUGGGUGACGAGCGGCGGACGGGUGAGUAAUGUCUGGGAAACUGCCUGAUGGAGGGGGAUAACUACUGGAAACGGUAGCUAAUACCGCAUGACCUCGCAAGAGCAAAGUGGGGGACCUUCGGGCCUCACGCCAUCGGAUUUGCCCAGAUGGGAUUAGCUAGUAGGUGGGGUAAUGGCUCACCUAGGCGACGAUCCCUAGCUGGUCUGAGAGGAUGACCAGCCACACUGGAACUGAGACACGGUCCAGGCUCCUACGGGAGGCAGCAGUGGGGAAUAUUGCACAAUGGGCGCAAGCCUGAUGCAGCCAUGCCGCGUGUGUGAAGAAGGCCUUAGGGUUGUAAAGCACUUUCAGCGAGGAGGAAGGCGUUGUAGUUAAUAGCUGCAGCGAUUGACGUUACUCGCAGAAGAAGCACCGGCUAACUCCGUGCCAGCAGCCGCGGUAAUACGGAGGGUGCAAGCGUUAAUCGGAAUUACUGGGCGUAAAGCGCACGCAGGCGGUUUGUUAAGUCAGAUGUGAAAUCCCCGAGCUUAACUUGGGAACUGCAUUUGAAACUGGCAAGCUAGAGUCUUGUAGAGGGGGGUAGAAUUCCAGGUGUAGCGGUGAAAUGCGUAGAGAUCUGGAGGAAUACCGGUGGCGAAGGCGGCCCCCUGGACAAAGACUGACGCUCAGGUGCGAAAGCGUGGGGAGCAAAC
rnacentral:rRNA from 1 species